AGAGUUUGAUCCUGGCUCAGGAUGAACGCUAGCGGCAGGCUUAACACAUGCAAGUCGAGGGGCAGCACGGGUAGCAAUACUUGGUGGCGACCGGCGCAAGGGUGCGUAACGCGUGAGCAACAUGCCCGUAUCAGGGGGAUAAUCCAUGGAAACGUGGUCUAAUACCCCAUAGUAAGUUUUUGGGGCAUCUCAAAGAUUUUAAAGCUUUGGUGGAUACGGAUUGGCUCGCGUGACAUUAGCUAGAUGGUAAGGUAACGGCUUACCAUGGCUAUGAUGUCUAGGGGUUCUGAGAGGAAGGUCCCCCACACUGGAACUGAGACACGGUCCAGACUCCUACGGGAGGCAGCAGUGAGGAAUAUUGGACAAUGGAUGGAAAUCUGAUCCAGCCAUGCCGCGUGCAGGAAGACGGCCCUAUGGGUUGUAAACUGCUUUUGUAUGGGAGCAAUAAGGGCUACGUGUAGUCCGAUGAGAGUACCAUACGAAUAAGCACCGGCUAACUCCGUGCCAGCAGCCGCGGUAAUACGGAGGGUGCAAGCGUUAUCCGGAUUUAUUGGGUUUAAAGGGUGCGUAGGCGGUUUGAUAAGUCAGCGGUGAAAUAUUUCAGCUUAACUGGAAGGGUGCCGUUGAUACUGUCGAGCUUGAAUUUAGUUGCUGUGGGUGGAAUGUGUGGUGUAGCGGUGAAAUGCAUAGAUAUCACACAGAAUAUCGAUUGCGAAGGCAGCUCACAAAGCUAAUAUUGACGCUGAUGCACGAAAGUGUGGGGAUCAAACAGGAUUAGAUACCCUGGUAGUCG
rnacentral:rRNA from 1 species